AUGAAACCAAGCAUGACCAAUUUACUACAAGUAUUACCAAUUAACACUUUUCACCAACAGUGACCUUUACCAAGCUUCUUAUGAACAUCCAAAUAAAGUUCAACCAGUAACAAUGUAACCAAGGCAUGAGAUCCAAAUUUAUCUUCAAAAAAAUAUGUUCUCGGUGAUAAGCUAAUAACAGAGCACCAUAUUGAAACGAUAUUGCAUGCCAAACAACCAAACUGAAUAACCAAUGCACCAAAGGAGAUAGCCAUAACAAAUCUGAUCGGGUGCAUAAAACAAGCACAAGCUUCACAGUAGCAGAAAAUUGAGUCUAAAAAUAAACUGAAUAUGCCAUACCUUAGUGUAAGACAAGCACAAUCUAUGACCAUACACGUCAUUGCGGGGAAGUCGUGAAUCAGUGAAUCUUGACUUGAAUCAAACACCAAAGCAAUCCUUCUCUGUCUUCAAUCUAAAACUUUUCACAAACACCUUGGGAGCAGUAUCAAAUAUAAACAGAAAUUUUCCCAGCGAGAAAUUCCAAAUCGAUAUCUAGAUGUUCUAGUUAAACUAACCAAAAACAGAUCGAAAGCGGAAAUGAGUGAUUCAGUGAACUGAAAUGCGAUUGCAAAUGGAAUCGCAAACCCUAGAAUUUGGGGAAAAAGGAAGAGAUUAAAGUUGCGAUUAAAACAAAAUCGCAAUCGAACACGGAACAAGAAUCAAAUCGAAAAGAAAUCAAGAAAUCGGAUCUAGAACAUGAAUUGGAAUCAUGAAAUUCACAAAACGGAAUCAAAAUUGAAAUCAAGAAAACGGAAUUCGCAACCGAUAGAUGAGAAAAGUGAUUUUCUCAGAUGGAAAAUUAACAGUACUAGAGAAUUG
rnacentral:lncRNA from 1 species